AACGAACGCUGGCGGCAUGCCUAACACAUGCAAGUCGAACGAGACCUUCGGGUCUUGUGGCGCACGGGUGCGUAACGCGUGGGAAGUUGCCCUUAGGUUCGGAAUAACUCCCCGAAAGGGGUGCUAAUACCGGAUAAUGUCUUCGGACCAAAGAUUUAUCGCCUUUGGAUGGGCCCGCGUUGGAUUAGCUAGUUGGUAGGGUACAAGCCUACCAAGGCGACGUUCCAUAGCUGGUCUGGGAGGAUGAUCAGCCACACUGGGACUGAGACACGGCCCAGACUCCUACGGGAGGCAGCAGUAGGGAAUAUUGUACGAUGAGCGAAAGCCUGGUCCAGCAAUGCCGCGGGAGAGAUGAAGGCCUUAGUGUUGUAAAGCUCUUUUACCCGGGAUGAUAGUGACAGUACCGGGAGAAUAAGCUCCGGCUAACUCCGUG
rnacentral:rRNA from 1 species